ACCCCGGGAACUGGGGAUAAUACCCUAUAGGUUACAGAUGCUGGAAUGCCCUGUAACCAAAAGCUCCGGCGCCCUAGGAUGGAUCUGCGGCCGAUUAGGUUGUUGUUGGGGUAACGGCCCAACAAGCCCGUAAUCGGUACGGGUUGUGGGAGCAAGAGCCCGGAGUUGGAUUCUGAGACACGAAUCCAGGCCCUACGGGGCGCAGCAGGCGCGAAACCUUUACAAUGCGGGCAACCGUGAUAAGGGAACCUCGAGUGCCUGUAAACGCAGGCUGUUCAGGUGUUUAAAACGCACCUGGAGAAAGGGCCGGGCAAGACCGGUGCCAGCCGCCGCGGUAAUACCGGCGGCUCGAGUGGUGGCCGCUUUUAUUGGGCUUAAAGCGUUCGUAGCUGGGUUGUUAAGUCUCUUGGGAAAUCUGGCGGCUUAACCGUCAGGCGUCUAAGGGAUACUGGCAAUCUUGGAACCGGGAGAGGUGAGGGGUACUUCGGGGGUAGGGGUGAAAUCCUGUAAUCCUCGAGGGACCACCUGUGGCGAAGGCGCCUCACCAGAACGGCUUCGACAGUGAGGGACGAAAGCUGGGGGAGCAAACCGGAUUAGAUACCCGGGUAGUCCCAGCCGUAAACGAUGCGCGUUAGGUGUAUCGGUGGCCACGAGUUACCGAGGUGCCGAAGGGAAACCGUGAAACGCGCCGCCUGGGAAGUACGGUCGCAAGGCUGAAACUUAAAGGAAUUGGCGGGG
rnacentral:rRNA from 1 species